UUUGGGAAUAGAAAGCCUCAGCUUGCUCUGAUCUAUUGGAUUAUCCACAUCAGAUUUUUCUGUCACCGCUGUAGCCACUCUGAGGGCUUUGGUUAUGUAUUCAAGCUUUUAUGCGCUAGAUCAAGACUACAAGAACUGUUUAGUUGGAUAGCCUUUGUGAUUUUAUUCAAACUGAAACAUCCUACAAUGUACCGUCUAAGGCAACAACUUCAUCUCUUUCUAUGAAGAACACUACUCUCAAACCAGAAUAGAAUAACGGAGAGUUGACAUCAUGUAAAGCAUGGGAGGAAUAGAUAUAACAAGAUUCAUGGAUCGCUUAGAGCUAUUUUUAUAUAGUAAAAUUCCUACCUGAAUACUUAUGUUGUAAACAUUUGGAAUAUGUUAUGUAUUGAACCUAUAGUUGAAGUUAUGAUAUUAUAAUUUCUACAUU
rnacentral:lncRNA from 1 species